rnacentral:rRNA from 1 species
AAUGAACGUUGGCGGCGUGGAUUAGGCAUGCAAGUCGUGCGAUAACCCCGCAAGGGGGGAAAGCGGCGAAAGGGGGAGUAACGCGUGGGUACCUGCCCCUUGGUCCGGAAUAGCUGCGGGAAACUGCAGGUAAUGCCGGAUAAUAUCCUCGGAUCAAAGGUGUGAUUCCGCCGAGGGAGGGGCCCGCGUUCUAUUAGCUAGUUGGUAGGGUAAUGGCCUACCAAGGCGACGAUGGAUACCGGGUGUGAGAGCAUGACCCGGCUCACUGGGACUGAGACACUGCCCAGACGCCUACGGGUGGCUGCAGUCGAGAAUCUUCGGCAAUGGGCGCAAGCCUGACCGAGCGACGCCGCGUGCGGGAUGAAGGCCUUCGGGUUGUAAACCGCUGUCGUAGAGGAGGAAAUGCCAUGGGGUUCUCUCCAUGGUUUGACCUAUUCUAGGAGGAAGGACGGGCUAAGUUCGUGCCAGCCGCCGCGUAA